GACGAACGCUGGCGGCGUGCUUAACACAUGCCAGUCGAACGGAAAGGCCCUGCUUGCAGGGUACUCGAGUGGCGAACGGGUGAGUAACACGUGGGUGAUCUGCCCUGCACUUCGUGAUAAGCCUGGGAAACUGGGUCUAAUACCGGAUAGGAGCCAUUUUUAGUGUGGUGGUUGGAAAGUUUUUUCGGUGUAGGAUGAGCUCGCGGCCUAUCAGCUUGUUGGUGGGGUAAUGGCCUACCAAGGCGGCGACGGGUAGCCGGCCUGAGAGGGUGGACGGCCACAAUGGGGCUGGGGUACGGGCCAGGAUCCUACGGGAGGCAGCAGGGGGGAAUAUUGCAAAAUGGGCGCAAGCCUGAUGCAGCGACGCCGCGUGGGGGAAGACGGCCUUCGGGUUGGAAACUCCGUUCGCUAGGGACGAAGCUUUUUGUGACGGUACCUAGAAAAGAAGCACCGGCUAACUACGUG
rnacentral:rRNA from 1 species